rnacentral:rRNA from 1 species
GACGAACCGUGCGAACGUUGUUCGGAAUCACUGGGCUUAAAGGGCGCGUAGGCGGGCUGACAAGUCUGGGGUGAAAUGCCGCGGCUCAACCGUGGAACUGCCUUAGAUACUGUCGGCCUCGAGGAAGGUAGGGGCAUGCGGAACUGUAGGUGGAGCGGUGAAAUGCGUAGAGAUCGGGCGGAACACCAGCGGCGAAGGCGGCAUCCUGGCCCUAACCUGACGCUGAGGCGCGAGAGCGUGGGGAGCAAACCGG